rnacentral:rRNA from 1 species
CCUACGGGUGGCAGCAGUGAGGAAUAUUGGUCAAUGGGCGCGAGCCUGAACCAGCCAAGUCGCGUGAGGGAAGACGGUCCUAUGGAUUGUAAACCUCUUUUGUCGGGGAGCAAAAGACGCCACGCGUGGCGUUCCGAGAGUACCCGAAGAAAAAGCAUCGUCUAACUCCGUGCCAGCAGCCGCGGUAAUACGGAGGAUGCGAGCGUUAUCGGGAUUUAUUGGGUUGAAAGGGUGCGCAGGCGGAAGAUCAAGUCAGCGGUAAAAUUGAGAGGCUCAACCUCUUCGAGCCGUUGAAACUGGUUGUCUUGAGUGAGUGAGAAGUAUGCGGAAUGCGUGGUGUAGCGGUGAAAUGCAUAGAUAUCACGCAGAACUCCGAUUGCGAAGGCAGCAUACCGGCGCUCAACUGACGCUCAUGCACGAAAGUGUGGGUAUCGAACAGGAUUAGAUACCCUAGUAGUC